rnacentral:misc_RNA from 1 species
GUGAAUCAUCAAAUCUUUGAACGCAAAUUGCACUCUCUUCGGAUAGUAUGCCUGUUUGAGGGUCAGUAUUAAUAAAAAUCGGCGUUUUGCCCUGUUGUGACGUUUCUGACUUUGCGUCAUCUUAUAACAACACCCUUUCAGGGUAUUUUUAAGAGGCUUGAAAUUGACCUUUUUUGUGUAUUUUAGUCGUACAUCAAUUUUUUUUUAUUCGUCUAUCUUAAUUCCAACUCUCUAUUAGAUGCGACCUUAUCGUGUGGUCCCGUGUC